rnacentral:rRNA from 1 species
AAAUUGAAGAGUUUGAUCAUGGCUCAGAUUGAACGCUGGCGGCAGGCCUAACACAUGCAAGUCGAACGGUAACAGGAAGCAGCUUGCUGCUUUGCUGACGAGUGGCGGACGGGUGAGUAAUGUCUGGGAAACUGCCUGAUGGAGGGGGAUAACUACUGGAAACGGUGGCUAAUACCGCAUAACGUCGCAAGACCAAAGAGGGGGACCUUCGGGCCUCUUGCCAUCAGAUGUGCCCAGAUGGGAUUAGCUUGUUGGUGAGGUAACGGCUCACCAAGGCGACGAUCCCUAGCUGGUCUGAGAGGAUGACCAGCCACACUGGAACUGAGACACGGUCCAGACUCCUACGGGAGGCAGCAGUGGGGAAUAUUGCACAAUGGGCGCAAGCCUGAUGCAGCCAUGCCGCGUGUAUGAAGAAGGCCUUCGGGUUGUAAAGUACUUUCAGCGGGGAGGAAGGUGUUGUGGUUAAUAACCGCAGCAAUUGACGUUACCCGCAGAAGAAGCACCGGCUAACUCCGUGCCAGCAGCCGCGGUAAUACGGAGGGUGCAAGCGUUAAUCGGAAUUACUGGGCGUAAAGCGCACGCAGGCGGUCUGUCAAGUCGGAUGUGAAAUCCCCGGGCUCAACCUGGGAACUGCAUUCGAAACUGGCAGGCUUGAGUCUUGUAGAGGGGGGUAGAAUUCCAGGUGUAGCGGUGAAAUGCGUAGAGAUCUGGAGGAAUACCGGUGGCGAAGGCGGCCCCCUGGACAAAGACUGACGCUCAGGUGCGAAAGCGUGGGGAGCAAACAGGAUUAGAUACCCUGGUAGUCCACGCCGUAAACGAUGUCUACUUGGAGGUUGUGCCCUUGAGGCGUGGCUUCCGGAGCUAACGCGUUAAGUAGACCGCCUGGGGAGUACGGCCGCAAGGUUAAAACUCAAAUGAAUUGACGGGGGCCCGCACAAGCGGUGGAGCAUGUGGUUUAAUUCGAUGCAACGCGAAGAACCUUACCUGGUCUUGACAUCCACAGAACUUUCCAGAGAUGGAUUGGUGCCUUCGGGAACUGUGAGACAGGUGCUGCAUGGCUGUCGUCAGCUCGUGUUGUGAAAUGUUGGGUUAAGUCCCGCAACGAGCGCAACCCUUAUCCUUUGUUGCCAGCGGUCCGGCCGGGAACUCAAAGGAGACUGCCAGUGAUAAACUGGAGGAAGGUGGGGAUGACGUCAAGUCAUCAUGGCCCUUACGACCAGGGCUACACACGUGCUACAAUGGCGCAUACAAAGAGAAGCGACCUCGCGAGAGCAAGCGGACCUCAUAAAGUGCGUCGUAGUCCGGAUUGGAGUCUGCAACUCGACUCCAUGAAGUCGGAAUCGCUAGUAAUCGUGGAUCAGAAUGCCACGGUGAAUACGUUCCCGGGCCUUGUACACACCGCCCGUCACACCAUGGGAGUGGGUUGCAAAAGAAGUAGGUAGCUUAACCUUCGGGAGGGCGCUUACCACUUUGUGAUUCAUGACUGGGGUGAAGUCGUAACAAGGUAACCGUAGGGGAACCUGCGGUUGGAUCACCUCCUUACCUUAAAGACGC